CUCAGAGAGAUUUCUCUAAGUGAUUCUCCGUUUGAUGUUCGUUGAUUCUGUCUCACGUACAAUUUAUCCUCCUUGCAUAUCAGCAUUUUGGGCCCUCGGAUUUGGAUUUGAUGCAGCCUCCACAAUGAGUGCCACCUUCAUCAAUGGCGUCCUUGGCCCCCAGAAAAAACCGCCAAGCCAAUGGAUAUGUGUAGAGGGCCGCAAUGAGGCAGACGGCAGCGGGUGGCAGCAAUAGGGGUUGACGGAUGCUCCGAGACCAUGAAGAGCCUAUUCAAUGAUGAGAAGGAUGACAUAGCGAAUGAGGAUUCCGACAUGGUAGCUCCCACAAUCGCGCAGUUGGAGAGCAUGCACGAGUUCGGUAAACUAUGUAUUCUAUUGGUAUAGCUCUGAAAGGUUAGGAUGCUUUGGGUCGCGGCCUGAACUAUGUAUCUGUGGAUAUUAUUACACUUUCAGCAUGCUAUUUCCUAUUUUUUAGACAUCAAUUUCUGUGAAUUGUGGCUGAACUAUGAUACUUUAGGUUGCAUGCUCAACUAUGUGUAGUGUCAUUACUGCUUUCUCCCCUGAUUGUAUUGUCCUUGCCAUGUUAUCCCCUAAAGGCUUACUCUUGCCAUGUUAUUCCCUAAAUUAUUACUCAUUUCUUCUUUUGCCAGUGCUCCACUUAUGCAUCAUGUAUUUAGUACUCCC